rnacentral:rRNA from 1 species
CAUGUCUUUUUGAUUAUAAUUUAAAGUCUAAUCUGCACAAUGAAAUUUAAAUUGCCGCAGUAUUUUGACUGUGCAAAGGUAGCAUAAUAAUUAGUUUCUUGAUUAGGAACUGGAAUGAAUGAUUGGACGAGAAAAUUUCUGUCUCUUGUUAAAGAAUUUUUUAAUUUUAUUUUUAAGUUAAAAAGCUUAAAUGUUUAUAAAAGACGAGAAGACCCUAUAGAGUUUUAUAUUUGUUAUAAAUUAAAUAAUAGGAAGGUUUUUUUAUAAGAAGUAUUUGGUUGGGGUGAUUUAAAGAUUUAUAAAAUUCUUUAAAAUUUUAAUUGAUGAUGUUUAAUUUCUUUAUCUAAAUUUUUUAAAUUUAAAAUUAAUUACCUUAGGGAUAACAGCGUAAUUUUUCUUUAAAGCUCUUAUUAAAAGAAAGUUUUGCGACCUCGAUGUUGGAUUAAAAUAAAUUUUUGGUGCAGUAACUUAAAAAUUAGGUCUGUUCGACCUUUAAUAUUUUACAUGAUCUGAGUUUAAACCGGUGUAAGCCAGGUUGGAUUCUAUCUUUAGAUUUAUUGUAUAUUUUAGUACGAAAGGACCAAAUAUAUAUUAUAUAUUAAUUG